rnacentral:tRNA from 1 species
GGCCCCUUGGCGGAACGGUAUACGCAGGAGAUUUAAAAUCUCUGGCCCGGAAGGGUGUCUCGGUUCGAAUCCGAGAGGGGCUACCA